rnacentral:tRNA from 1 species
UAGCCUAGUGGUUAAGGUAUGGAUCGCCAAUCCAGAGACGGCGGGUUCGAUUCCCGU